UUACAUUUUCUUGAAAUCGAACGGCUGUGGUUUCGUGAGAUAGUGAAAACUAGUAACUGUGUGCACUGACACACUCUCUCUCUCUAGCCUGCACACAACAUCUCUCCCUGUACCUAAACUCUCCCUCUCUCCCCCGUGAGCCUGCUCCCACCCUCUCUAAAUUCAGUGAGCCUCCUCCCAUUGUGUCUCUCUUCGGUGAGCCUCCUCGCCUCUCUCUCUCUCUGAGCCUUAUCUCUCUCUCCCCCCCGAGAACAACAAUCAGCCUCCUCGCUCAGCAACCUUAAAUCCCCAAAUUCAGCAACCUUAAAUCCCCAAAAUCAGCAACCCUAGAUUCCGUGGACUCUGGAAUCUCUCUCAUUGGAAGCCUCCUCCAUUCUCAGCAACUCUAAAUAAAAAAUAGUGGUUUCAAUCAACCAUUCACAGCAAGGCCCUAACAAUGUCAUUUGAUUCUACAAGUAAUUGAGGAUAUACAACUCGAUGAUGCCCAAAGUGCAGUAUAGAUUGUGCUAAAAAACCGUCAGCAAGCCAAAAUAACCUGAACAUGAUGUACUAUAAAUGUUCUAUAUGUGGGUUUUUCCAAUGGUGUGAUGAAUAUAAUACCGUCGUGGAAAAUUUCAAUUUAAGACGAUGCAAUACACGAUAGUGGAAUCUAAUGCAAGAAUCAGAAGAACGUGUCAUGCUCAAUCAAGAAACAAGUGUUGGCAAUGAUACGAUACUCGUUGCCAUAGAGCGCACGCAUCAAUUCUUACUCGGUGCCUUUGGGUAUUUACAAUAAUUUUUGUAUUUUUUGUGUAUAAUAAAUGUGUGCUUGCUUGCACUCAUUUUUUUUAUUUUUAUAGUUCUGAUUAGAAACAUGUGAUACUUUUUGACUUGGAAUUGCUUUUUUACUAAGGGUUGCUUUUUUACUAAUGUAAUUAUUUCUGACGUAGAAUUCAACUUAUUCUCUUUUUAUGGAAAAUGUUGUAAUUGAAAGUAACAAAAGGGUUCUUUUGGUAAUGUAAACAUAUAUUAUUUGCCAUGCAACUCCAAUUCAAGGAUA